AUUGAACGCUAGCGGGAUGCCUUACACAUGCAAGUCGAACGGAGUGGCGAACGGGUGAGUAAUGUAUCGGAACGUGCCCAGUAGCGGGGGAUAACUACGCGAAAGCGUAGCUAAUACCGCAGACUAUUGGGGCGGCCGAUAGCGGAUUAGCUAGUUGGUGGGGUAACGGCUCACCAAGGCGACGAUCCGUAGCUGGUUUGAGAGGACGACCAGCCAAACUGGGACUGAGACACGGCCCAGACUCCUACGGGAGGCAGCAGUGGGGAAUUUUGGACAAUGGGGGAAACCCUGAUCCAGCCAUCCCGCGUGAGUGAUGAAGGCCUUCGGGUUGUAAAGCACUUUUGGCAGGAAAGCGGUACCUACCGAAUAAGCACCGGCUAACUACGUGCCAGCCGCCGCGGUAAUAC
rnacentral:rRNA from 1 species